UCUGUGUGCUGAGGAGGAGCUGGGAUUAUAUUCUGUUAACUUAUAAAAGAUAUUAGUAAAAGGAUAUCUGUGCACCUCUCCCCUUCUCUAAAAUGCCAUGAUUUGAGUAGUUACUACAUCUUAACUGAUUCAGACCCAUAAGGAAGCCAGAUGAAGAAAGUGGAGAAUGAGAACAUAAGGUGAAGAAAUAACACGUUACCCAAGGUCAUUCAGCAAAUCACCACUGUACUGUACUCUUGUGUGUUUGUGCUGUGUGUACAGGUGGAAUUAGUUGAAUUCUGGG